ensembl:snRNA U6 U6 spliceosomal RNA
GUGCUUGCUCCGGCAGCACAGGUACUAAAACUGGAACAAAAUAGAGAUUAGCAUGGGCCCUGCACAAGGGUGGCCUGAAAGUUUGACGAGAAGUGUUUCAUACUUUU